rnacentral:rRNA from 1 species
AUGGAUUAAGAGCUUGCUCUUAUGAAGUUAGCGGCGGACGGGUGAGUAACACGUGGGUAACCUACCCAUAAGACUGGGAUAACUCCGGGAAACCGGGGCUAAUACCGGAUAAUAUUUUGAACUGCAUAGUUCGAAAUUGAAAGGCGGCUUCGGCUGUCACUUAUGGAUGGACCCGCGUCGCAUUAGCUAGUUGGUGAGGUAACGGCUCACCAAGGCGACGAUGCGUAGCCGACCUGAGAGGGUGAUCGGCCACACUGGGACUGAGACACGGCCCAGACUCCUACGGGAGGCAGCAGUAGGGAAUCUUCCGCAAUGGACGAAAGUCUGACGGAGCAACGCCGCGUGAGUGAUGAAGGCUUUCGGGUCGUAAAACUCUGUUGUUAGGGAAGAACAAGUGCUAGUUGAAUAAGCUGGCACCUUGACGGUACCUAACCAGAAAGCCACGGCUAACUACGUGCCAGCAGCCGCGGUAAUACGUAGGUGGCAAGCGUUAUCCGGAAUUAUUGGGCGUAAAGCGCGCGCAGGUGGUUUCUUAAGUCUGAUGUGAAAGCCCACGGCUCAACCGUGGAGGGUCAUUGGAAACUGGGAGACUUGAGUGCAGAAGAGGAAAGUGGAAUUCCAUGUGUAGCGGUGAAAUGCGUAGAGAUAUGGAGGAACACCAGUGGCGAAGGCGACUUUCUGGUCUGUAACUGACACUGAGGCGCGAAAGCGUGGGGAGCAAAC